rnacentral:rRNA from 1 species
AAGGAAUAUUGGUCAAUGGACGCAAGUCUGAACCAGCCAUGCCGCGUGAAGGAUUAAGGCCCUCUGGGUUGUAAACUUCUUUUAUAGGGGAAGAAAUGUGACGGUUCUCCGUCACUUGACGGUACCCUGGGAAUAAGCACCGGCUAACUCCGUGCCAGCAGCCGCGGUAAUACGGAGGGUGCAAGCGUUAUCCGGAUUCACUGGGUUUAAAGGGUGCGUAGGUGGGCAGAUAAGUCAGUGGUGAAAUCUUCCGGCUUAACCGGGAAACUGCCGUUGAUACUAUUUGUCUUGAAUAUUGCGGAGGUAAGCGGAAUAUGUCAUGUAGCGGUGAAAUGCUUAGAUAUGACAUGGAACACCAAUUGCGAAGGCAGCUUACUAUGCGGUGAUUGACACUGAGGCACGAAAGCGUGGGUAGCAAACA